CCAGCUUCAGGUCACGUGACCCCUGUGAGGCCCCCACAGCUAGUCAGGAGCCGUGCACAUGAUGCCCUACAGGGGGCGCCAUGGCAGCAGCCACUGGGCCCUCUUGGGGACCUCCUCCUCCUCUGGAUGCUGUGAUGCCACUGCCAGGCCGUAAGGGGACACCUUUGGGCCAUCGAGUCACUCCUGGAAUGCCCACCUGGGCACCCCCAGCCCAUGGUGGGGCCAAUAAAGCAAUGACACCCCAAAAUUGCACCUGGGAGGUGGGGAGACCCCCAAA